GAAAUGCGAUAAGUAAUGUGAAUUGCAGAAUUCAGUGAAUCAUCGAAUCUUUGAACGCACCUUGCGCUCCUUGGUAUUCCGAGGAGCAUGCCUGUUUGAGUGUCAUGGAAUUCUCAACUCUAUUUGCUUUUGUGAAUAGAGCUUGGAUUUGGAGGUUUAUUGCUGGUACUUGUGAUCGGCUCCUCUUGAAUGCAUUAGCUCGAACCUUUGUGGAUCAGCUAUCGGUGUGAUAAUUGUCUACGCCGUUGCAGUGAAGCAUAUCAAUGGGCUCGGCUUCCAAUCGUCCUUUACUGGAAAAUGACUUUGACCUUUGACCUCAAAUCAGGUAGGAUUACCCGCAGAACUUAAGC
rnacentral:misc_RNA from 1 species